CCUACGGGAGGCAGCAGUGGGGAAUAUUGGACAAUGGGCGAAAGCCUGAUCCAGCCAUGCCGCGUGUGUGAAGAAGGCCUUCGGGUUGUAAAGCACUUUCAGUGGGGAAGAAAGCCUUGGGGCUAAUACCCUCGAGGAAGGACAUCACCCACAGAAGAAGCACCGGCUAACUCCGUGCCAGCAGCCGCGGUAAUACGGAGGGUGCGAGCGUUAAUCGGAAUUACUGGGCGUAAAGCGCGCGUAGGCGGUCUGAUAAGCCGGUUGUGAAAGCCCCGGGCUCAACCUGGGAACGGCAUCCGGAACUGUCAGGCUAGAGUGCAGGAGAGGAAGGUAGAAUUCCCGGUGUAGCGGUGAAAUGCGUAGAGAUUGGGAGGAAUACCAGUGGCGAAGGCGGCCUUCUGGACUGACACUGACGCUGAGGUGCGAAAGCGUGGGUAGCAAACAGGAUUAGAUACCCUGGUAGUC
rnacentral:rRNA from 1 species